rnacentral:rRNA from 1 species
UACGUAGGGGGCAAGCGUUGUCCGGAAUCAUUGGGCGUAAAGCGCGCGUAGGCGGCCCUGUAAGUCCGCUGUAAAAGUCCAGGGCUCAACCCUGGAAAGCCGGUGGAUACUGUCGGGCUAGAGUCCGGAAGAGGCGAGUGGAAUUCCUGGUGUAGCGGUGGAAUGCGCAGAUAUCAGGAGGAACACCGAUGGCGAAGGCAGCUCGCUGGGCCGGUACUGACGCUGAGGCGCGAAAGCGUGGGGAGCGAACAGG